AUGAAUUCGGCUUCCCUGCCCCCUGCCAAAUGCAAGAAGAGGGGUCGCAUGGAUGACAGAAAUGGGAGGCACAUGCCUCCUAACUCAGGGCAGUCACAAUCUACCGAGGCCCACGGCCCCACCUGGGCAGGUCAUGCUCCACGAAAGCCAAAACAAAUUCUCAACAGACAACUUGGCCCGGACUUUUUAAUUAGGAGGCGCUAUACCGGACCAUAUCUGACUCCUUCAACAAGAGAGUCCUGAUAGAGGACAACUGGUCGCAAAGGCUGAAUGCUGCCAUCUGCCAAGCCUGCAAACUUG